AUUGAACGCUGGCGGCAUGCCUUACACAUGCAAGUCGAACGGUAACAGGUCUUCGGAUGCUGACGAGUGGCGAACGGGUGAGUAAUGCAUCGGAACGUGCCUAGUAGUGGGGGAUAACUACUCGAAAGAGUGGCUAAUACCGCAUGAGAUCUACGGAUGAAAGCAGGGGAUCGCAAGACCUUGUGCUACUAGAGCGGCCGAUGGCAGAUUGGGUAGUUGGUGGGAUAAAAGCUUACCAAGCCGACGAUCUGUAGCUGGUCUGAGAGGACGAUCAGCCACACUGGGACUGAGACACGGCCCAGACUCCUACGGGAGGCAGCAGUGGGGAAUUUUGGACAAUGGGCGAAAGCCUGAUCCAGCAAUGCCGUGUGCAGGAUGAAGGCCUUCGGGUUGUAAACUGCUUUUGUACGGAACGAAAAGCCCCGGGUUAAUACCCUGGGGUCAUGACGGUACCGUAAGAAUAAGCACCGGCUAACUACGUGCCUGCAGCCGCGGUAA
rnacentral:rRNA from 1 species